AUACAGUGGAACCCAUUUCGUUCAACAUUGUUAGAUUGUACAUAUUGUAUUUACAAUAGAACUAUAUUAUAAUUGUAUCCAAAUCCUAGGCCUCUGACCUAUUAUAUAAACACCGGAACCCCACGUCAUUAUACGUGUGAGGCUUCCCCAAAACCCUUCUAUAUGGUAUCAGACUAAUCUCGGUCCUACCCUAGCCGCCGCCGCCCCCUCCCCAACCCUAGCCGCCACCGCCUCUUCGGCCGCCGCCGUCCUAGGUCGGGCCUCCGCCAACCCUAGCCCCACUCCACCUUCCGCUGCCAUGGUGCUCCCCGUCCUCACCGACGGGACCUCCGCCGCCCCUGCGGCUGCUGCGGUCGCCACCCUCACCACCACUGGCGGCGCCCCACGUCACGCCGGCCCCGUCAUCCUCUCCUUCGCCGCCGGGAACUACUCCAAGUGGUGCAUCUACAUGCGAGCUUCUCUCGGCCGCUCCGGCUACCUCGGCCACGUCGACGGCACCGUCGCCGCCGCCCCCACCAACGCCGAGUGGGCCACCGCCGACUACACCGUCCUCAACCACCUCCACGCCGCCAUCGACAAAGACGUCGCGGACAUGAUCCUUGCGGGGGAUCAGACCGUGCGUCGGCUGUGGCUCGCGGCACGAGACUUCUUCACUACGAACAAGGCGAACAAAGCCAUCUACCUCAACAAUCAGAAUCACUGACAAGAUAUUAUUUAUCAUACAAUGGAACCCGUUUCGUUCAACAUUGUUAGAUUGCACAUAUUGUAUUUACAGUAGGACUGUAUUGUAAUUGUACCCAAACCCUAGGCCUCUGGCCUAUUAUAUAAACACCGGAACCCCACGUCAUUAUACGUGCGAGGCUUCCUCCAAAACCCUUCUACAAACAUUAAUAUGAAAAGGAACCUGGAUCAUUGUGACGCAUACCAUACAUUCAAGCUGCAUCACAUUUGUAUCAUUCAACCUUAGAAGUAUCAACCGACAUUCACUAUCACUAGGAUCAAAGCAAACCAUACGCAGAGGACAGAACACCUUAACGUCAACUGAGUGUUUAAACAUAUUUGAAGUUGUAGUUCACAGAUAUAAGCACUAAAUGAUAAAAAAACAUGCAAUAAAAUGAUUAGUCUACGUCCUUCUCCUCAUAGCAGACUUGACAGCACACAAGAUCCUGAAGUAAUCAAAGAAUAAAGCUGAGUGCUUGCCCUCCAAGCCAUCACGGUUGUACCGGUUGCUGCCUGUAAGAUUGUUACAUGGGCUGCCCCCAAUCACCAAAUCAAAGCCACCAAAUCUAUCAAUGAAUGAAGAAAUCAUAUCAUCGGUGACAGAUUGCACAUCGGCAAUUUCAAUCAGCCUGCCAGUUUGUGUUUGAUCCCACCAACCCCUUAAAAUCCUCCUGUUAACUUCACCUAUCUCAACAGAAAUAACUGUUCUCAUGCGGAUCCCGAGCCUAUGCAGAGCAACCUCUCCUCCUCCAAUGCCAGUGAAUAAGGACAGUACAUUUAUGCCAUUAGGAAACAUGUCCUUCAGCACUGACAAGUGCCAAGCAACGGAAUCCACUUGGAAUGAAUUUCCCAGAGAUUUAUACCUCUCUGUCUUGCUGCAGCACUGACUCCGAGGAAAGCUUUCCUACAUAUUUACAACGAGUGAAGAGGUAGUUGCCGCAGUUGCUGAUCUCUCGCCUCUCCUGGCCAUCUCUAUCUUGUUGAAUAGUGUUCAACCAGUACUAUCAGGUGUUGCUGUUGGGGCGGGUUGGCAAAGUGUAGUUGCGUAUGUUAACAUCACAACAUAUUACUUGAUUGGUAUCCCUCUUGGAGCGAUCCUAGGUUAUGUUCUGGGAUAUCAUGUGAAGGGCGUUUGGGUUCGCAUGCUGCUCGGAACACUGGUUCAAACAAUUGUACUUCUGUUCAUAACAAUUCGGACUGACUGGGAUAAACAGGUAGAGGUUACUCGGCAGAGAUUGAAUAAAUGGUUCAUCGAUGGGAACAGAGAAAAGGCAGUUUCCAGUGGAAGUCCAUGAGGUUAAAAAAAUUGGGUACAAGCAAUGAAUCGCCACGCCAUCAAAGUAGAACUUGUAUACUCUCCUUGAUCGGGUUCACAACCUUUCAGAGGAUAAAAUACACUUGUCUCAACAUGUUAAGAUUUUUUUCGCGAAAACGCAAAAGACUUGCGUUUCGAUGCAUUGAUAGAUAGGGAAAAGGUUAUAUGUACAAGUUCACGAAGGGACCAACACCCCGCACUACAAUUCAACAUGUUAAGAUUGAAUUUGCAGAACAGGGGUUAUUCCUCAAGAUCGAGCGAACAAUGUGAUCACAGUGAUGCAAGCCCAGUAGAAGACCCACUUGAUUUUCAGCAAUCUCCGCCACUAAC